AUCAGAAUCCAGCUCCAUUUUCUUCUGACUCCUUUCUGCUUCGGAGCAGCGACCGACUGAAAAACGAAAGCACUUCUCACAGCAUACACAACAAAGACCUGUGACACAACAUCCUGGCUGACUUUCUGUGGAAGCCCUUCCCUCAGACGUGAGACACAGAAGGUUAACUCUGUAACCACCACACUCUACAGAUACAGAAGGGUAUAUUUUACUCGAGGACCUAAAGGACAUAUUUCACCAGUGCUACCGGGUGAAUGGGCUGGGAGGCCACACAGCUACUGACCCUGCAGCCACUGAGUGGAUUUCUCUACGGUCCUCAGAUGCUCCUAACGGUGGUAAGUUGGACUAAUUAAAUGGAACCUUUUCCCCUCAAAAAGACUUCCCCCAGAAUCCUCAGUAAAAAUUGGAACAAGACGGAGAUAGACUGAAAUUGCAGAGUUUUGAAAAAUUAAAAAACAAGGUGCGAGACUGGCUUCAUUAUUAUCAAAUAAUGGAGGCAUUUAAAUUAGACAGGAAAAUUGGCUUCCAGGUGGAAAAAUCAAAAUUAGAAACAGAAUUGUUAGAACCCAAUACUAAGAAUCUGUCAAGAAUGUAUAACUUGCUGCUGAAAUGGAAUACUCAAGAUGAAACGGUAAAAUCGGCUAUGAUUAAAUGGGCACAGGACGUAGGACAUAACAUUAUGUUUGCUGACUGGGAACAGUUAUGGACCACAGGUAUGAAAUUUACGGCAUGUAAUGCCUUAAGAGAGAAUAUUAUGAAAAUGAUAUACAGGUGGUACAUAACCCCAGUCAAGCUUGCGAAAAUUUAUCACUUGCCCGAUAACAAAUGUUGGAAAUGUAAAGAAACUGAAGGUACAUUUUUUCACCUUUGGUGGACGUGCCCAAAGAUUAAGGUUUUCUGGGAAAUGAUAUAUAAUGAAUUAAAAAGGUAUUUAAGUAUACCUUUCCCAAGAAACCAGAGGCCUUUCUCCUGGGCAUAGUGGGCCAAAUGGUGUUAAAAAGGAUAGAACUUUCUUUAUGUAUGCAACAACAGCAGCAAGAAUACUCAUCGCAAAGUAUUGGAAGACACAAGAACUUCCCACGCUGGAGGAAUGGCAGAUGAAACUUAUGGACUAUAUGGAAUUGGCGGAAAUGACUGGCAGAAUCCGUGACCAGGGAGAAGAGUCGAUGGAGGAAGAUUGGAAGAAAUUCAAAGACUAUCUUCAGAAACACUGCAAAAUUAAGGAAUGUUAGAGUGAUGUUGGAUUGAAAAUAAGUGGUUUCCAGCUGUACAGGUUAAAGCUAGGAUAGAUUAAGAUUAAAGAUUAAGAUUGGGAAAAAUUUAAAGGUAUAUGACAUUAAAAACAAGGAUUAUGUUUAUGUUAUAUAGUUUAAUAUUUUAUUAAAUUAAAGAUUGGGUUUAAAAAGUGGAAAAGAAAUUGCUGGACAAAUAAUGUAGAUUGGAAUACAAAAGAGGGAGGUAUGAGGAAGUCCAGAAAAUAAGUAAUUUAAAAUUGGGAACGUAAAAGAGAGGUUGUUUUAAAUUGUUAUGUUGUGUGUUUUUAUUGUUAAAUUUUGUAUUCUGUUCUUUUUGUGUGUGUUGUUUUUUCUUUUUUCUUUGUUUAAAACUUUAAUAAAAAUUAUUAAAAAAAAAAAAAACAGAAUCCUCAGUAAAAAGACAUUUUACAAUGAACUGAAGAAAUGAUAGCUUGGAGUGAUAGCUUGGAGACAGCAGACUAGGCUUCCUGGCAGUAAGUAGAAGGGGCAGCUCUUUCUCUGUUGAGCAACACGUCUCUCCGUCUGAGGCUCAAUACUGUCAUUAUAUAAGGCCGAGUGGGGCCUUCUUGGCUGCUCACCCCAUUCUAGUGGGCUUCAAUGUACAAGAGGGCUCUGGGGUGGUUCUGAAGAGCAGCAGAGAUGUGGGUGGUGGUUCCUUGAGCCGUUAAGUGCAUUAUGUCCUGAUUGUUUAACAAAUGCUAAUGGGACGUGAGUUUAGCUGGAUGCUCUACAGAAUGUCCCAGACCUCAGUGGUUCUCUGAUGCUAUCUUUUGUGGAGGCAUGCCCGUUCCUUUGAAUGGGUUCUCUGACCAGCUCCACAUUUUUUGGUUGACUGAGCCAUGCAAACCAAAACAGGAGCAUGGUGUGCAAGUUCAGUAGCUCAUUUGGCUCUGAGGCCCAGAACAUACAGCUUUUAAUUUUAACAAUCCUAAGUGCUUGUGAUACCCCAGUAAAAAGGUAAAAGGACCCCUGGACGGUAAAGUCCAGUCAAAGGCAACUAUGGGGUUGAGGCGCUCAUCUCGCUUUCAGGCCGAGGGAGCUAGCAUUUGUCCACAGACAGCUUUCCGGGUCAUGUGGCCAGCAGGACUAAACUGCUUCUGGCACAACGGAACAACAUGACUGAAGCCAGAGUGCAAGGAAAUGCAAUGUCCCUUUCCGCCACAGCGGUACUUAUUUAUCUACUUGCACUGGUGCAUUUUUGGACUGCUAGGUUGGCCAGAGCUGGGACUGAUCCAACCCGAGAUUCUGAAAUCCUGUACAGAAUGUCCUAGAGCUCAUCUUCCAAAUGAUUCUGUCUUACAUGGGAAGGAAGUGUAUUGAGAGAGCAUUGUUGGCUGCCCACUCUCCACCUUAGAGCAGAUUUAUGCCACAAGGUGCCAUAGGAAGGCACUGGACAUAGUAAAGAUCCAUCGCAUCCUGGUCACUGUCUCUUCGAGCUCUUGCUGUCGGGACGGAGAUACAGGAUGAUGAAGACAAGAAUGAGCCGUCUUAAGAACAGCUUCUUCUCCAGAGCGAUCUCGGCCCUGAAUGGGAAGCCCGGACUUUGAAAGUCAUCUAAUCUCCCUU
rnacentral:lncRNA from 1 species